CACAUCCAAGGAAGGCAGCAGGCGCGCAAAUUACCCAAUCCCGACUCGGGGAGGUAGUGACAAGAAAUAACAAUAGUUGUUCUCUUUUUGGACGACUAAUUGGAAUGAGUACAAUUUAAAUCCCUUAAUGAGGAUCCAUUGGAGGGCAAGUCUGGUGCCAGCAGCCGCGGUAAUUCCAGCUCCAAUAGCGUAUACUAAAGUUGUUGCAGUUAAAAAGCUCGUAGUUGGAUUUCUGUGGGGACGGAGCGGCCGGCCGCAACACGCGGUUCGAGCUAGCGCUUUCCCUACAUCCUGCCGCGAACCGUGCUACCAUUAGUUUGGUGGCGCCGGGGAUCGGCUCGAUUACUUUGAGAAAAAUAGAGUGUUCAAAGCAGGCCACACGCCUUGAAUAAGUUAGCAUGGAAUAAUAACUAAGGACUUCGGUUCUAUUUUGUUGGUGUUCGGGACUGAAGUAAUGAUUGAUAGGGACAGUUGGGGCGGUCUGUAUUCCAAAGCGAGAGGUGAAAUUCUUAGACCUUCGGAAGACAAACAGCUGCGAAAGCGUUCCGCAAGGAUGUUCCCUUUGAUCAAGAACGAAAGUUGGGGGAUCGAAGACGAUCAGAUACCGUCGUAGUCUCAACUAUAAACUAUACCAGCUAGGGAUCGGCCAACGUUAUUUUAUACCGACUUGGUCGGCACCUUAUGAGAAAUCAAAGCAUCUGGGUUCCGGGGGGAGUAUGGUCGCAAGGCUGAAACUUAAAGGAAUUGACGGAAGGGCACCACCAGCCGUGGAGCCUGUGGCUUAAUUUGACUCAACACGGGAAACCUUACCAGGUCCAGACAUAGUAAGGAUUGACAGAUUGAUAGCUCUUUCUUGAUUCUGUGGGUGGUGGUGCAUGGCCGUUCUUAGUUGGUGGAGUGAUUUGUCUGGUUAAUUCCGUUAACGAACGAGACCCCAGCCUGCUAAAUAGCGCGAGUGAGCUUUGCUCGCUGCGAGCUUCUUAGAGGGACUAUGAUGCGCGAUAGCACAUGGAAGUUUGGGGCAAUAACAGGUCUGUGAUGCCCUUAGAUGUUCUGGGCCGCACACGGGCUACACUGGCGCCUGCAACGAGCAUAUCAGCUGGCCCGAGAGGGUCUUGGCUAAUCUUUUGAACCGGCGCCGUGCUUGGGAUUGACCUUUGCAAUUGUUGGUCAUGCAACGAGGAAUGCCUUGUAAACGCGAGUCAUCAGCUCGCAUUGAAUACGUCCCUGCCCUUUGUACACACCGCCCGUCGCUCCUACCGAUGAAUGUUCCGAUGAAAUUUUCGGAGAGCACCUGUGAACUUGGCUCUGCCUUGCGAACGGGAGGCUCAAAGUCACUUAAAUCUGAACAUUUCGAGG
rnacentral:rRNA from 1 species